CUACUUUUCCCCCAACUUGAACCAAGGGUUAGAACUUUAUUUGCUGGACAAAUUGAUCUAAAAGAACUCGGAUGAGGGGAAGCCUGGCACAGCUGAGGACAGAAAGAAACAAGGAUGACAAAAGGGCAGGCUACAUGACAAUGUGACCUGCUGCCCAGCACCGAGUAUUGGCAUCUUACUCUCUUGCUACUCUUUGAUUUAUUAUUAUGCUUUUUUGUUUGUUAUUGUUUUUACAAUUUAACUUUUAUUUUAUAUUAGGGUAUGCUGCUGCUGCUGCUGCUGCUAAGUCGCUUCAGUCGUGUCCGACUCUGUGCGACCCCAUAGACGGCAGCCCACCAGGCUCCCCCGCCCCUGGGAUUCUCCAGGUAUAGAUUUCUGUCUCCACCUACUUAAGACUUAUGGUCUUGAAGGCAUCUUCAGAGCCAACUGCCACAACAUUUCAGGGGAACCAGACAUUGUGUGAAUUGUUUAAAGCGCAUAAUCUUGAAUAAUCAUCACAACAAUCCUGUGAGAUCUGUUUCCCAGGCAGCAUCUGAGCAUCUGGCAAAUGGUAAGAGCUCUCCCGAUAGCAGCUGGAAACCAGUGAGUGAAACAUUUACCAGGUUAUUGACAUAAUGGCUCUGGAUGUUUGUGUAGGUAUCAGUCGGUCGUAGAUUGCUUUUUAACACUCUGUUUUAAAAUGAAAAUAAAUGUGACAAUAAGCCCUAAAUGGCCCUAAUAGAAUGUCAAGAGUAAUCAAUACUCAAAUGUGAUAAAGUUUAUAGUAUGGGAGGGAACCCAGAGGGUGACCCAUUUUUUUCUGCCUGAACUGAGGCUGGCGCCUUGUAUUAAUAGGAUGGGAAAAGAGCUGAGGAGGCUUUUGAGAGAAACUGGAAGAGGGAGAUGGAGCAGGGAUCAAGGGACACUUUGAGAGUCAGUAGGUGAAAACAUCACUAACUCUAGGUGGAUGAGCUCAUACCAGUCACAGAUCCCUUGCUGGUGAUACCCAGAGCACCAGCAUCCCAGGGUCAUGGGCACUUGUAAAUGAAGUCACAUUCUAAGAGGAGAACACAGACUAGCAAAGGAGGAAUGGGACCAGAGAUAUGCAAAUCAAAAAGGAGAUAAAGCUGCGGACCAGGGCAAGGCUUUCUGGAAUUUUAACAUAUCUAAAGGAGGAUUGUGUCCUUCCUGGAAUCUUGGAAAGUGGGAACUGCAGAGACUCCCAGGAUCUCAACAUCAAUCAGAGUUGGCAGCUUGCUCUACUAGGGAUUUGUGAAGAUGGACGCUCAAAGACACGGUGACUCAACUCUGCUAAACUUUCAGGUCACAUGACUGUCUGGGACCCUCCAAGAUUCUACUGUGCCUUCUCAGGGGCAGGUGUGUCUAUAGGCAGAACAUCUGCUGGUCUUGCUCAAGGAGCCACUGAGGCCAGGCAUCUUUGGGAGCAAUUAGGAAUUUGAGGAUGAAGUGUUAGGGAAUAUGAUGGAAGGAGUAGUGGCUGUGAGCAGGGAGGAGGUUGGUGCUUAGACUGACCGCUAGCUUUGGCCAACAGAAGAUCGCGGUGACGUUGGUAAGAACUGUUUCGGUAGCAGAAUGGGUCUGACACCAGCUUGUGGGUUGUGGGAGAGUUGAACCAACUGCGGCAGGAGCUGAGGAACUAGCUGGAGGGAAAUCGGAAUGAAGGGAUAUUUACUUUUGUCUUGUGAGAGAUGUGAGCUUGGUUGACUAUUGAUGGGAAGACCUAGUGGAAAGGAGUCCAUUCCAGACACUUCAGGGAGAGGAUAAAACUCACCAAGGGGAUGGUUGGGGCAGUGGCAGGCUCAGGCGGAAGGAGAGAGACAGGACUGGAGGGGUAGCUGAGGAACCCUGAGAAUCCAGGACUGGAUGUCUUCUUUGCUGAGGAUGAGGGAGCCUUUUGGGAUGGAUGCAGCUGUGAGUUUGAGGAAGGGGUAGAGAUUUAGAACCAGCUGCUGAGAGAAAUAGGGGUGGGAGCUUCCUCAACCAGGGAUGGGGAAGAGGCUGUCCUGAGUGAUGUUUCAGAGCCGUCACCACCCUCCCCCAUCCAACACAUGUGCGAGGGCCACUCAGUGUAGGGAACACAAUCACUGCCCUCAGUGAUGCAACCAUGAGUAAGAGCCACCGGAUUCUGUCCCUGAUGUAAAAAUGAAAUUGAUCUUAGAGACGGAGCCAUGAUGAAAUGUAGACACGUCUUUCUUUCCCUAUGUAUCAUCUGCUACAGGCUUUGCCAGCCGUAUGUUUUUAUUUUUCCCAAAGGGGUACCACGCCAAGGCCCCUCCUCAACUCCAAGGCCAAGACCUCAGAUCUGCACAGACGUUUGGGGAGCAAAAAGAAGCAGGCUUCUGACUCAGAUCAGUGCCAAACAGAGCUCAGAGCCAGCUGGAAGACCCUUAAAGAGAGGAGAAGGCCGCAGCAGAGCCUCUCGG
ensembl:lncRNA